UCCGGCCGUGACACCACCUAGACUUGGUUCGCUGUGUGCUGUUCUGUGGCUGUAUGCUGUGCGCGGCGUCUCCCUGUUCUAUGGCGGCGUGCGCUGUCUUGUCAUAUUAAGCUGUGGAAUAUUGAGCUGUUGAGAGGUCCUUGGCUGUUGUCAACGGGAGGUAUGCUGUGCGGACAUCAAGAGACCUAAAUCCAAUGUCGUCUUCUCCGUGAUACUGCGGAUCUCGAAUCCCUCUGGACAAUGUGCCGUUUCCAGUUGUCAAGGGAACCGUCAAAGUAUGCAUAUCUGGAAUGGAAUACUAGCAGAAGACACAGGAGAAAAAGAAGACAAAAUAUGUUACAUCGUGACGCACUUGCAAACGUUUCAAUCUCAUUCAGAUAUGCAGUAGCCUUCCAGUUCAAAGAUUCUGUGCAGGCAGUGUAAGGUGCAUACUUUGCAGGCAGCUGUAUUUAACAUAUUUUCCUUUAUACAUAUGCCCCUUUUGGGGCCCUUAGGGUAUUCCUAGCCAAUGAAUACAUUCAGGAAAAGCCCAAGAGCAUUACGACUGUGAACGAGACACAUAGCCGGAGGUUGCUGCACACGGAAAUGUUCAGUUUUGCUGGGACCUCUUCUACCUCCUCUCCCACCUUUGACGUUUUGCCAUGCCUUCCCCCCAUCAGUAGUUGCGAGCGAAAGAAAAUCAUGGCUACAUCCCUGGUGUGAACUAUAAAAACAUGGGCUUGUUUUUUUUUGCACUUAUCAAAGCCGACCUGUGUGUCUGGUAACAUGCAAAAACACCAGAAAUAAAUAUUCUUUAUUUCAUUUACAGCA